CCUACGGGUGGCAGCAGUAGGGAAUUUUCGUCAAUGGGCGCAAGCCUGAACGAGCAAUGCCGCGUGAACGAGGAAGGUCUUCGGAUCGGAAAGUUCUGUUGAAGGGGAAAAAGAGCGGAGAGAGGAAAUGAACUUCGAUUGAUAUUACCCUUCGAGGAAGUCACGGCUAACUCCGUGCCAGCAGCUCCGGUAAUACGUAGGUGCCGAGCUUUGUCCGGAUUGGUUGGGCGUAAAGGGUGCGUAGGCGGCCUGCUAGGUCUGGAGGGAAAGGUACCGGCUCAACCGGUACAGGCUCUGGAAACUGGCGGGCUAGAGAGCAGGAGAGGGCGGUGGAACUCCAUGUGUAGCGGUAAAAUGCGUAGAUAUAUGGAAGAACACCAGUGGCGAAGGCGGCCGCCUGGCCUGUUACUGACGCUGAGGCACGAAAGCGUGGGGAGCAAAUAGGAUUAGAUACCCGUGUAGUC
rnacentral:rRNA from 1 species